rnacentral:rRNA from 1 species
GUGGCGAACGGGUGAGUAAUAAUUAGGCAACCUGCCCCGGGGUGGGGGACAUACGGUCGAAAGGCCGGGCAAUCCCUCAUGACGUCCUGUGUCGCAUGACAUGGGUCCAAAGUUCCGGCGCCCUGGGAGGGGCCUAAUGGGUAUCAGCUUGUUGGUGAGGUAAUGGCUCACCAAGGCGACGACGCCUAGCGGGUCUGAGAGGAUGAUCCGCCACAUCGGGACUGAGACACUGCCCGGACACCUACGGGUGGCUGCAGUAACGAAUCUUCCGCAAUGGGCGCAAGCCUGACGGAGCGACACAGCGUGCCAGAGGAAGCCUUUCGGGGUAUAAAUGGCUUUUCUGAUCAGGUACCUCCGAACCGGUCAGGAAUAAGAGGCGACUAACUUCGUGCCAGCAGUCGCGGUAAUACGAAGGUCCCAAGCGUUACUCGGAUUUACUGGGCUUAAAGGGCGUGUAGGCGGACCUGCAGGUGUCCUGUGAAAUCCCAUGGCUCAACCAUGGAACUGCAGGGCAGACCACAGGUCUAGAAGUGGCUAGGGGCAACCAGAACUCUAGGUGGAGCGGUGAAAUGCGUAGAUAUCUAGGGGAAUGCCGAUGGUGAAAACAGGUUGCUGGGGCCAUCUUGACGCUGAGGCGCGAAAGCGUGGGUAGCGAACGGGAUUAGAUACCCCGGUAGUCCACGCCGUAAA